UACGGGGGGGCAAGCGUUGUUCGGAAUUACUGGGCGUAAAGGGCGCGUAGGCGGCCUUCUAAGUCGAACGUGAAAUCCCCGGGCUCAACCCGGGAACUGCGUCCGAUACUGGAAGGCUUGAAUCCGGGAGAGGGAUGCGGAAUUCCUGGUGUAGCGGUGAAAAUGGCGCAGAUAUCAGGAGGAACACCGGUGGCGAAGGCGGUUCUCUGGGCAUUACCUGACGCUGAGGAGCGAAAGCAUGGGGAGCAAACAGG
rnacentral:rRNA from 1 species